rnacentral:misc_RNA from 1 species
GCUAGUAAUCUACAAUUACUAUGUUUACAGUGGUGCUUAUCUGCUUGAUACUUUUUUGAAUUGAUCAUAAAGCAUAACAUGCAUGCUAAAGUUCAUCCAGUUCCUAGCUCCUACUCAUUUUGCAUCAUGUUGCACUAACUUGCUUCUGUAUGUCGUUGAUUUUAUUUUCACCAAAUACACUUCAUUGUGGCACUGGCAAAUCCCCCACUUGAUAGGAAUAUAAAAAUAUACAUAAGCUCGAAUGUGGAGAAGGCCAAUAUGUACCUCCAGGUAGCAAUCUUGUAACAAUUCCAUGACAUCUAGCAGAAGUUGCUUGCUUGGAUUUAUGAUUGUAUGUUAUGAUGGUGCUGUUAUAAGCCAUUUCAGAAAUGACAUGACAAGCACUAAUGGUGCUGUUAACUCAAUAUGUUUGGUUAAUGUUUGUUAACAACGGGGGAAAAAAAUGAUGAAAUCAAAUUGUUAUGAAACAUUGAAUGGCUAAAGUAAAUUGGAGCGACUUAAAUACGGAG